AGCAGGAUGGAGUAAUGGUAACUUCUCAGGCUCAUGAUCUGAAGAUACUGGUUCAAUCCCAGUUCCUGCUC
rnacentral:tRNA from 1 species